rnacentral:rRNA from 1 species
AUUGAACGCUGGCGGCAGGCCUAACACAUGCAAGUCGAGCGGAUGAAGGGAGCUUGCUCCUGGAUUCAGCGGCGGACGGGUGAGUAAUGCCUAGGAAUCUGCCUGGUAGUGGGGGAUAACGUCCGGAAACGGGCGCUAAUACCGCAUACGUCCUGAGGGAGAAAGUGGGGGAUCUUCGGACCUCACGCUAUCAGAUGAGCCUAGGUCGGAUUAGCUAGUUGGUGGGGUAAAGGCCUACCAAGGCGACGAUCCGUAACUGGUCGGAGAGGAUGAUCAGUCACACUGGAACUGAGACACGGUCCAGACUCCUACGGGAGGCAGCAGUGGGGAAUAUUGGACAAUGGGCGAAAGCCUGAUCCAGCCAGGCCGCGUGUGUGAAGAAGGUCUUCGGAUUGUAAAGCACUUUAAGUUGGGAGGAAGGGCAGUAAGUUAAUACCUUGCUGUUUUGACGUUACCAACAGAAUAAGCACCGGCUAACUUCGUG